AGAGUUUGAUCCUGGCUCAGGACGAACGCUGGCGGCGUGCCUAACACAUGCAAGUCGAACGGAGUUGAAAGGAGCUUGCUUUUUUCAACUCAGUGGCGGACGGGUGAGUAACGCGUGAGUAACCUGCCUUUCAGAGGGGGAUAACGUUCUGAAAAGAACGCUAAUACCGCAUAACAUCAAUUUAUCGCAUGAUAGGUUGAUCAAAGGAGCAAUCCGCUGGAAGAUGGACUCGCGUCCGAUUAGCCAGUUGGCGGGGUAACGGCCCACCAAAGCGACGAUCGGUAGCCGGACUGAGAGGUUGAACGGCCACAUUGGGACUGAGACACGGCCCAGACUCCUACGGGAGGCAGCAGUGGGGGAUAUUGCACAAUGGGGGAAACCCUGAUGCAGCAACGCCGCGUGAGGGAAGAAGGUUUUCGGAUUGUAAACCUCUGUUCUUAGUGACGAUAAUGACGGUAGCUAAGGAGAAAGCUCCGGCUAACUACGUGCCAGCAGCCGCGGUAAUACGUAGGGAGCGAGCGUUGUCCGGAUUUACUGGGUGUAAAGGGUGCGUAGGCGGCGAGGCAAGUCAGGCGUGAAAUCUAUGGGCUUAACCCAUAAACUGCGCUUGAAACUGUCUUGCUUGAGUGAAGUAGAGGUAGGCGGAAUUCCCGGUGUAGCGGUGAAAUGCGUAGAGAUCGGGAGGAACACCAGUGGCGAAGGCGGCCUACUGGGCUUUAACUGACGCUGAAGCACGAAAGCAUGGGUAGCAAACAGGAUUAGAUACCCUGGUAGUCCAUGCCGUAAACGAUGAUUACUAGGUGUGGGGGGUCUGACCCCCUCCGUGCCGCAGUUAACACAAUAAGUAAUCCACCUGGGGAGUACGGCCGCAAGGUUGAAACUCAAAGGAAUUGACGGGGGC
rnacentral:rRNA from 1 species